GAUGAACGCUGGCGGCGUGCUUAACACAUGCAAGUCGAACGGAAAGGCCCAAACUUGCUUGGGUACUCGAUUGGCGAACGGGGGAGUAACACGUGGGUGAUCUGCCCUUCACUUCGGGAUAAGACUGGGAAACUGGGUCUAAUACCGGAUAGGACGAUUUGUUGGAUGCGAUUGUGGAAAGUUUUUGCGGUGUGGUAUGAGGUCGCGACGUAUCAGCCUGAUGGUGGGGUAUUGGCCUAGCAAGGCGUCGACGGGGAGCCGGCACGAGAGCGUGUAGGGACAGUCUGGAAUCGAGAGGGGGCCAGCAGUAGGGAGGGAGGCAGAAGGGGGGAAUACCGGACGAUGCGAGGCAGCGUGAGGGAGGAAGGUCGCGUGGGGGAUGACGGCUGUUAGGUUGUAAGAACAUUUCGGUAAGGAAGAAGCGAUUUUGUGACGGUACCUGAAGAAGAAGCAACGGCUAACUACGUG
rnacentral:rRNA from 1 species